GCCGGGAUAGCUCAGUUGGGAGAGCAGCAGACUGAAGUACUAUACGUAUUCUGAAGGUCCCGUGUUCAAUCCACGGUCCUGGCA